AUACCUUUUAAAUUUCAUUGACCAUAGAAUCAUUUUUUGACAGUCUUAUGUAAUGUAUUAAAUGAUACAUGUAUUUUAUAUUUGUAUUGAAAUAUCGUUUGGGCAGUCAAAUCAAUGUUUCUGACAUUCGUUCAUAUAUUUAGUAACUUGCUUAUUGGUAUUUUGUCUUUUGUGUAUUACAGUGAUGUCAUUAAUAUUCAAGGGUAUCAAGUUUCGUGGAUAAAGUGAAAAUCACGGUUUCAAGAAUAAGUUAAUUUGUGACAAAUGACCCUAUCAAUACACAUGGUAAUAGAAAUUGCAUUUCAAUGAACAUUUCAUUUUGUGGAUCAGCUUAACAACAGAAUCCACGAAAAUUGGUAUUCAACGAUCAUUGAUGAAACCACAGCAUAUUGUUCGUAAUUUCUUUAACAUACAUUUCUAAUAAUGCUUUUAUUCAUGUAAUUUGUAAAAUGAUGGCAAUACAAGCCGUUCCCAAUUCUUCACACAGUAAAAAAAACUUCGCAUUUUUUUACAAAAAUCAAUGAUUUAGUCUGUCCUCCUUAGAAUCUUCACACACAAUAUAUGUAUAUAUGUAUGCAGUUACCUAAUUAUGUAUAUAUGUCACUUUACUUGUAUUUUCUUUUUGUAUUGUAACACAAUUUCCUCUGACGUCAUUUGAACAUUGUAUAUUUUUUCUGAGCCUCAGAUACCAUCUUUAGUAUGGCCAUGGUGAAUAAACUGAAUUUGAAUCUAAACUACCCCUAG
rnacentral:sRNA from 1 species